AACGAACGCUGGCGGCAUGCCUAACACAUGCAAGUCGAACGAGACCUUCGGGUCUAGUGGCGCACGGGUGCGUAACGCGUGGGAACCUGCCUUUAGGUUCGGAAUAACUCAGAGAAAUUUGAGCUAAUACCGGAUGAUGUCUUCGGACCAAAGAUUUAUCGCCUUUAGAUGGGCCCGCGUUGGAUUAGCUAGUUGGUGGGGUAAAGGCCUACCAAGGCGACGAUCCAUAGCUGGUCUGAGAGGAUGAUCAGCCACACUGGGACUGAGACACGGCCCAGACUCCUACGGGAGGCAGUAGUGGGGAAUAUUGGACAAUGGGCGAAAGCCUGAUCCAGCAAUGCCGCGUGAGUGAUGAAGGCCUUAGGGUUGUAAAGCUCUUUUACCCGAGAUGAUAAUGACAGUAUCGGGAGAAUAAGCUCCGGCUAACUCCGUG
rnacentral:rRNA from 1 species